AGUGAACGCUGGCGGUAGGCCUAACACAUGCAAGUCGAACGGCAGCACAGUAAGAGCUUGCUCUUACGGGUGGCGAGUGGCGGACGGGUGAGGAAUACAUCGGAAUCUACUUUUUCGUGGGGGAUAACGUAGGGAAACUUACGCUAAUACUGCAUACGACCUACGGGUGAAAGCAGGGGAUCUUCGGACCUUGCGCGAUUGAAUGAGCCGAUGUCGGAUUAGCUAGUUGGCGGGGUAAAGGCCCACCAAGGCGACGAUCCGUAGCUGGUCUGAGAGGAUGAUCAGCCACACUGGAACUGAGACACGGUCCAGACGCCUACGGGAGGCAGCAGUGGGGAAUAUUGGACAAUGGGCGCAAGCCUGAUCCAGCCAUACCGCGUGGGUGAAGAAGGCCUUCGGGUUGUAAAGCCCUUUUGUUGGGAAAGAAAAGAAGCAGGUUAAUACCCCGCUGUUCUGACGGUACCCAAAGAAUAAGCACCGGCUAACUUCGUG
rnacentral:rRNA from 1 species